rnacentral:rRNA from 1 species
UACGUAGGCAGCGAGCGUUGUUCGGAGUUACUGGGCGUAAAGCGUGCGUAGGCGGUUCGUUAAGUCCGUUGUGAAAGCCCUGGGCUCAACCUGGGAAUGGCAGUGGAUACUGGCGAGCUAGAGUGUGAUAGAGGAUGGUGGAAUUCCCGGUGUAGCGGGUGAAAUGCGUAGAGAAUCGGGAGGAACACCAGUGGCGAAGGCGGCCAUCUGGAUCAACACUGACGCUGAGGCACGAAAGCGUGGGGAGCAAACAGG